rnacentral:rRNA from 1 species
UACAGAGGGUGCGAGCGUUUGUCCGGAAUCACUGGGCGUAAAGGGCGCGUAGGUGGCGGCCCAAGUCCGUGGUGAAAGCUCGCCGCUUAACGGCGAGUCGGCCACGGAGACUGGGUGGCUCGAGCACUGUAGGGGCAGAUGGAAUUCCGGGUGUAGCGGUGGAAUGCGUAGAGAUCCGGAAGAACACCGGUGGCGAAGGCGGUCUGCUGGGCAGUUGCUGACACUGAGGCGCGACAGCGUGGGGAGCAAACAGG